rnacentral:rRNA from 1 species
GAUAUUGCACAAUGGGGGAAACCCUGAUGCAGCGACGCCGCGUGAGGGAAGACGGUCCUCUGGAUUGUAAACCUCUGUCUUCGGGGACGAUAAUGACGGUACCCGAGGAGGAAGCCACGGCUAACUACGUGCCCGCAGCCGCGGUAAUACGUAGGUGGCGAGCGUUGUCCGGAAUUACUGGGUGUAAAGGGAGCGUAGGCGGGAAUGUAAGUUGAAUGUUAAAUCCAUCGGCUCAACCGGUGUACGCGUUCAAAACUACAUUUCUUGAGUGAAGUAGAGGCAGGCGGAAUUCCUAGUGUAGCGGUGAAAUGCGUAGAUAUUAGGAGGAACACCAGUGGCGAAGGCGGCCUGCUGGGCUUUUACUGACGCUGAGGCUCGAAAGUGUGGGGAGCAAACAGG